rnacentral:rRNA from 1 species
CCACUGAUUGCCUAGUACGGCGAGUGAAGCGGCAACAGCUCAAAUUUGAAAGCUAGCCUUCGGGUUCGCAUUGUAAUUUGUAGAGGAUGCUUUGGGUAAAACGCCAGUCUAAGUUCCUUGGAACAGGACGUCAUAGAGGGUGAGAAUCCCGUAUGUGACUGGAAAUGUUAACCUAUGUAAAGCUCCUUCGACGAGUCGAGUUGUUUGGGAAUGCAGCUCUAAAUGGGAGGUAAAUUUCUUCUAAAGCUAAAUAUUGGCGAGAGACCGAUAGCGCACAAGUAGAGUGAUCGAAAGAUGAAAAGCACUUUGGAAAGAGAGUUAAAAAGCACGUGAAAUUGUUGAAAGGGAAGCGCUUGCAAUCAGACUUGUUUAAACUGUUCGGCCGGUCUUCUGACCGGUUUACUCAGUUUGGACAGGCCAGCAUCAGUUUCGGCGGCCGGAUAAAGGCUCUGGGAAUGUGGCCUCCACUUCGGUGGAGGUGUUAUAGCCCAGUGUGUAAUACGGCCAGCCGGGACUGAGGUCCGCGCUUCGGCUAGGAUGCUGGCGUAAUGGUUGUAAGCGACCCGUCUUGAACC